UACAGAGGUCCCAAGCGUUGUUCGGAUUCACUGGGCGUAAAGGGUGCGUAGGUGGCCGGGUAAGUCUGACGUGAAAUCUCCGAGCCUAACUCGGAAACUGCAUCGGAUACUAUCCGGCUUGAGGGUUGGAGGGGGGACUGGAAUACUUGGUGUAGCAGUGAAAUGCGUAGAUAUCAAGUGGAACACCAGUGGCGAAGGCGAGUCCCUGGACAACUCCUGACACUGAGGUGCGAAAGCGUGGGGAGCAAACAGG
rnacentral:rRNA from 1 species